AUUUUUUUGUAGUUCAUGAGUGUAAUGAUUGGGUGUUCACGCGCAUGUGUGAGAUGUGACACUCUUGCACAUUAAUUACUAGCCUAACCUGAGG
ensembl:snoRNA